CUGACGAGCACGCCGCGUGAGUGAGAGGUUUUCGGAUCGUAAAGCUCUGUUGUAAGAGAAGAACGAGUGUGAGAGUGGAAAGUUCACACUGUGACGGUAACUUACCAGAAAGGGACGGCUAACUACGUGCCAGCAGCCGCGGUAAUACGUAGGUCCCGAGCGUUAUCCGGAUUUAUUGGGCGUAAAGCGAGCGCAGGCGGUUAGAUAAGUCUGAAGUUAAAGGCUGUGGCUUAACCAUAGUACGCUUUGGAAACUGUUUAACUUGAGUGCAGAAGGGGAGAGUGGAAUUCCAUGUGUAGCGGUGAAAUGCGUAGAUAUAUGGAGGAACACCGGUGGCGAAAGCGGCUCUCUGGUCUGUAACUGACGCUGAGGCUCGAAAGCGUGGGGAGCAAACA
rnacentral:rRNA from 1 species